GUGCCAGCAGCCGCGGUAAUACGAAGGGUGCAAGCGUUACUCGGAAUUACUGGGCGUAAAGCGUGCGUAGGUGGUCGUUUAAGUCCGUUGCGAAAGCCCUGGGCUCAACCUGGGAACUGCAGUGGAUACUGGGCGACUAGAGUGUGGUAGAGGGUAGCGGAAUUCCUGGUGUAGCAGUAAAAUGCGUAGAGAUCAGGAGGAACAUCCAUGGCGGGGGCAGCUACCUGGACCAACACUGACACUGAGGCACGAAAGCGUGGGGAGCAAACAGGAUUAGAUACCCUGGUAGUCCACGCCCUAAACGAUGCGAACUGGAUGUUGGGUGCAAUUUGGCACGCAGUAUCGAAGCUAACGCGUUAAGUUCGCCGCCUGGGGAGUACGGUCGCAGGACUGACACUCAAAGGAAUUGACGGGGGCCCGCACAAGCGGCGGAGUAUGUGGUUUAAUUCGAUGCAACGCGAAGAACCUUACCUGGCCUUGACAUGUCGAGAACUUUCCAGAGAUGGAUUGGUG
rnacentral:rRNA from 1 species